CGCGCUCUCUCUCUCUCUCUCUCUGUGUUACCUCCUAUUCCUUGCUUGCGUGACGCACCAAAGAGUCGGCAAAGAGACCCAUUCAAACCCAGAACUUACCUAAACAGCCUAACAAGUAUAUAUUUCCUUCUCUCUCUCUCGCUCUCUCAUGUUUCAAAUUAUCACUCUCUGUUCAUCUUCUCACAUGCCAAUCCCUCCACCAUGUCCUUCCUCUCCCUCAUUUUCUUCUUCAGCCUCCUCUCCCUCUCUCUUUCCCAACCCCCACCUCUCAAAGGUCUUUUGAUUGACUGCGGCGCAACUGCGGGGUCUAUAAUCGACGGCCGCGCAUGGCUUUCCGACGCUGGCUUCAUUUCCGCUGGAACUCCCAAGAACCUGACCACCCCUGUUCUCAAUCCCAUCCUCUCCACCCUCCGAUCAUUCCCUUUCACGAACAACCUGCGCAAGAAGUUCUGCUACGACGUCCCCGUGUACCGCAACGCCAAGUACCUGAUUCGGACCACCUACUUCUACGGAGGAAUCAACGGCCGGGAUUCGCCGCCCGUUUUCGACCAGAUAGUCGACGGGACUUUCUGGAGCGUGGUCAACACCACGGAGGAUUACGCUAACGGAAUGUCGUCGUAUUUUGAAGGGGUUUUCGUUGCUCACGGUAAGACGAUGAGUCUGUGUAUCGCGCCGAAUACGUAUACGGAUUCGGACCCCUUUAUAACGGCGUUGGAGUUUCUGAUAGUCGGAGAUUCGCUCUAUAAUUCUACGGAUUUUGGAAAAUAUGGUCUGAGAUUGGUUGGCAGGCACGCUUUUGGUCUCUCGGGACCGAUCAUUCGAUAUCCUGAUGAUCAUUUCAAUCGGUUUUGGGAGCCAUUCGAGGGAACAUAUUCUACACCAACCGAAAACCGAAAUGUUUCUGUUUCUGCUUUCUGGAAUCUUCCCCCUUUAAAGAUAUUUGAGAGAGCUCUGACCACGACCAAAGUACAACCCAUAGAGUUGAGUUGGCCUCCAGUGUCUCUUCCGAACUCAACAUACUACAUUGCUCUAUACUUUGCAGAUGACCGCAAGUGGAGCUCAAGGGUGUUUGAUGUAAAGAUAAAUAACGUCUCAUAUUACCUCAAUCUGAACGUCACUCCAGCUGGUGCUUGUGUCUUCGCAGCCCGGUGGCCUCUUGCUGGUGCUGUAAAAAUAACUCUGACCCCUGCUGUCGGCUCAAACAUUGGUCCUUUGAUAAAUGCCGGAGAGGUUUUUGAGGUGCUGGUUCUUGGAGGACGAACUACGACCCGUGACGUUAUUGCUUUGGAAAAAGUAAAAGACAGUCUCAAGAAUCCUCCGCUUGAUUGGAAUGGUGAUCCUUGUUUGCCCCGCCAGUUCUCAUGGACCGGCAUUUUGUGCUCUGAAGGCCCCCAGAUUCGUGUGAUUGCCUUAAAUCUGACAAACAUGGGUCUCUCAGGAUCGCUGUCACCUACAAUUUCCAAGAUGACAGCGUUGACUGACAUCUGGCUGGGCUAUAACAGUUUGACUGGAUCCAUUCCUGAUCUCAGUUCAAUGAAGAUGCUAAAGAUAUUGCAUUUGGAAAACAAUCAGCUCAGUGGAGAAAUUCCCCCAUCACUGGGGGCCAUUGACGGCUUGCGUGAACUGAGGACUAACUUUGAUCAGAUUUGAUUCAUGGCUCCUAGACUGAGGUUUUUGGAUACAAACUAUGGAAUUAAGAAUCUUCUAUUGUUACUUUCUUACAGAACAAUAAUCUGACCGGUCUAGUUCCAAAAAACCUUGAAGGAAAACCUGGACUAAACCUUAAGACUUCUCCUGGAAAUAAUUUUAUAUCUCCCCCACCUCCUUGAGCAACUACAUCUAUGGAUCUAAUGGUAAAGGUGACUUGGCUGAUUUCUCCAGAAACUUGAUUCUGACCGAUUCACAUGUAUUCCAUGAAAGAACCAUUGCCCCUUUUUGUUCUAAAAAUCUUGCUGGGAGCUGUUUGUGCAAGAUUUCCAACCGAGAAAUUGAAGUUCUCCUUGAUUGGACUCUGUACUUGGGUCAGAGAAGGUUUCUUGAAGCAGUUUGGAACAUCCAAAACUCUAUACUCGAAAUGGUUGUUCAUAUUCACUUAGUCCAAUUCGUUUUUUAGUCAAUGUAUUGGAUCAUGUUUUCAAAAUUUAUCUGAGUAUGCAUACAUUCAAUUUUAUUCUGUGUA